AUACGUAUGUCGCAAGCGUUAUCCGGAUUUAUUGGGCGUAAAGCGCGUCUAGGCGGCUUAGUAAGUCUGAUGUGAAAAUGCGGGGCUCAACCCCGUAUUGCGUUGGAAACUGCUAAACUAGAGUACUGGAGAGGUAGGCGGAACUACAAGUGUAGAGGUGAAAUUCGUAGAUAUUUGUAGGAAUGCCGAUGGGGAAGCCAGCCUACUGGACAGAUACUGACUCUAAAGCGCGAAAGCGUGGGUAGCAAACAGGAUUAGAUACCCUGGUAGUCCACGCCGUAAACGAUGAUUACUAGGUGUUGGGGGUCGAACCUCAGCGCCCAAGCUAACGCGAUAAGUAAUCCGCCUGGGGAGUACGUACGCAAGUAUGAAACUCAAAUGAAUUGACGGGG
rnacentral:rRNA from 1 species